rnacentral:lncRNA from 1 species
UAAUUAAAAAAAAUAAAAAGCUAAGGUGAAUUAGAUCAUACUGUGUGUAUUUAGACAUAUAAUCGAUCUCUAAAGUAUAAUUUUUUUUGAGUUUGUUAGAUUUUAUGUAACAAUCUUCAUCUUCUUUAUAACCUUAAGCACCAGACCUCAAGUUUGUUAAGAAAGAGAAAAUAAAUGUUAGCUACUUAUUUUGUGGUGGAACCAAUAAUAA